UUAACCUUUUAAGAGAAGUCCAGAGAGGCUGAGAAGGGUGCAAGUCAAACGCUUAGGUGACAAGGAAGAUUCUGCAAUAGUAUCCUCUUGUUUACCUAAGUAUGACCGAAACACCCUUCCGGCAAAACGGAUAGGGUGUUUUUUGCU
rfam:Bacillus sp. CHD6a contig14, whole genome shotgun sequence.